rnacentral:rRNA from 1 species
AGCAGUAGCCGCGGUAAAACGGAGGGUGCAAGCGUUAAUCGGAAUUACUGGGCGUAAAGCGCACGCAGGCGGUCUGACAAGUCAGAUGUGAAAUCCCCGGGCUUAACCUGGGAACUGCAUUUGAAACUGUCAGGCUGGAGUCUUGUAGAGGGGGGUGGAAUUCCAGGUGUAGCGGUGAAAUGCGUAGAGAUCUGGAGGAAUACCGGUGGCGAAGGCGGCCCCCUGGACAAAGACUGACGCUCAGGUGCGAAAGCGUGGGGAGCAAACAGGAUUAGAUACCCCUGUAGUCCCUGUCUCUUAUAC